CCCAAUGAGAGAUUUAAUGGCCGCGGUAUAUUAACUGUGCAAAGGUAGCAUAAUCAUUAGUUUUUUAAUUGAAAGCUGGAAUGAAGGGUUUAAUGAAAAAAGUUCUGUUUCUGUUUGAAUUUAUUAGAAUUUUAUUUUUAAGUUAAAAAGCUUAAAUAAUUAUUGAAGACGAGAAGACCCUAUAGAGUUUUAUAUUUUUGAAAAUUUCUGUAUUUGGUAAUUUCAAUUUGAUUUUUAGAAGUAUUUAGUUGGGGUGAUUGAAAAAUUGAAAUAACUUUUUUUUUCAUUAAACAUUGAUAUAUGAGUAAAUGAUCCUUUUUUUAGAUUAUAAGAAAAAAUUACCUUAGGGAUAACAGCGUAAUUUUUUUUUAGAGUUCUUAUCAAAAGAAAAGAUUGCGACCUCGAUGUUGGAUUAAAAUAAGUUUUUGGUGCAGAAGCUAAAAAACUAGGUCUGUUCGACCUUUAAAUUUUUA
rnacentral:rRNA from 1 species